UAGAGUUUGAUCCUGGCUCAGAACGAACGCUGGCGGCGUGCCUAACACAUGCAAGUCGAACGGAGUUAGUUGGUAGCACUGAGCUAUCAGCCUUCAGCAAUGAGCAAAGAAAGGAUUGAGGUCUUUUAUUGCUUAAAGCUGUUAACUGACAGCUGAGCGCUAUCAGCUAACUUAGUGGCGGACGGGUGAGUAACACGUAGGUAACCUGCCCUGAAGCGGGGGACAACCCAGGGAAACUUGGGCUAAUACCGCAUAAGACCACGAUCUGGAAUGAUUGUGGUAAAAGCAGCAAUGCACUUCAGGAGGGGCCUGCGGCCUAUCAGGUAGUUGGUAAGGUAAUGGCUUACCAAGCCUAAGACGGGUAGCCGGACUGAGAGGUUGAACGGCCACACUGGAACUGAGACACGGUCCAGACUCCUACGGGAGGCAGCAGUGGGGAAUUUUGCGCAAUGGGCGAAAGCCUGACGCAGCGACGCCGCGUGGAGGAUGAAGGUCUUCGGAUUGUAAACUCCUUUUGUCGGGGAAGAUAAUGACGGUACCCGAUGAAUAAGCCACGGCUAACUCUGUGCCAGCAGCCCCGGUCA
rnacentral:rRNA from 1 species